rnacentral:rRNA from 1 species
GACGGGACCCGCACAAGCGGUGGAUGAUGUGAUUAAUUCGAUGCAACGCGAAAACCUUACCUACCCUUGACAUGUCCGGAAUCCCGAAGAGAUUUGGGAGUGCUCGCAAAGAGAGCCGGAACACAGGUGCUGCAUGGCUGUCGUCAGCUCGUGUCGUGAGAUGUUGGGUUAAGUCCCGCAACGAGCGCAACCCUUGUCAUUAGUUGCCAUCAUUUGGUUGGGCACUCUAAUGAGACUGCCGGUGACAAACCCGGAGGAAGGUGGGGAUGACGUCAAGUCCUCAUGGCCCUUAUGGGUAGGGCUUCACACGUCAUACAAUGGUCGGUACAGAGGGUUGCCAACCCGCGAGGGGGAGCUAAUCCCACAAAGCCGAUCGUAGUCCGGAUCGCAGUCUGCAACUCGACUGCGUGAAGUCGGAAUCGCUAGUAAUCGUGGAUCAGAAUGUCACGGUGAAUACGUUCCCGGGUCUU